rnacentral:rRNA from 1 species
AAUUAUUAUUAUUUUUUUUUAAAUACGCCUGAUUUCGUCUGAUCUUGGAAGCUAAGCAGUGUCAGGUCUGGUUAGUACUUUCUUGGGAGACAGCUUGGGAAUACCAGGUGCUGUAAGCU